rnacentral:rRNA from 1 species
AGUGAACGCUGGCGGUAGGCCUAACACAUGCAAGUCGAACGGCAGCACAGUAAGAGUUUGCUGUUACGGGUGGGGAGCGGCGGACGGGGGAGGUAUACAUCGGAAUCUAGUUUUUCGUGGGGGAUAACGAAGGGAAACCUACGCCAAUACCGGAUACGAUCUACGGGGGAAAGCAGGGGAAAUUCGGACCUGGCGCGAUUGAAUGAGCGGAUGGCGGUUUAGUUGGUUGGCGGGGUAAGGGCCUACGAAGGCGAGGAUCCGUCGCUCGUCUGAGAGGAUGGUCAGCCGCACUGGAACGGAGACACGGCCCAGACUCCUACGGGAGGCACCAGUGGGGAAUAUUGGGCAAUGGGCGGAAGCCUGACCCAGCCAUACCGAGUGCGUGAAGAAGGCCUUCGGGUUGUAAAGCCCUUUUGUUGGGAAAGAAAAGCCGCAGGUUAAGACCCCGCUGUUCUGACGGUACCCAAAGAAUAAGCACCGGCUAACUUCGUG